CUUAAAUACAAAUAAAAUAAGUAAGAAGAGGAGGGCUAUGCGUUAUGAUAAACGGUUAUGCUUGCAGGAAUCACACAAGCGUUAUUUUCGUUCAGUUAACUUUUUGGUAGAUAUUUAUUAAAACGAUGGUAACACGGCUAAUGGAUAGAUAUUAUUUUAAUAAAUUCAAAGCAGUUGUUUUCAUGCUGAUAAAUUCACUCAUAAUAUAUUGGCAUUCUAAAUGAAGUAAAUACUACAAUUCUUUUAUCAGUCUUCAAUACGAAAAUGAGCAUAACACUAAUAAUCAAGAGAAACAGUAUGAUUUACGUAUCAUUGUUAUUGUUUUUGACAGGGCGAAUUAACUUUUCAGAUUGCUAAAAUCUCUAAAUGAUGCAGAAUAUUUUUCUGAUUUAAUCAAAAUUGAGGUUUGGAUUGAUAGGUCUGAAAAUGGCUUCAUAGACGAAGCUGCUUUAAAAACAGCGUGGAAUUUUGUGUUUAAGCACGGAGACUACGAUGUAAAUUUGCAUCGGCAUCACGUUGGAAUCUAUGGACAAUGGUUUACAACUUGGAAACCAAAAUUGUACUCGUCAGAAAUUGCGGUUAUUUUAGAAGAUGACUUUACUGUUUCUAAAUAUUUCUGGAAAUAUUUAAAACUUGUUCAUAAGACUUAUGAUAACCACACAGAUAUAAAUGGCUAUGCUUUACAAGGAUAUACAACAACUUUCUCCAUUACAAAUCCACACAUACUUCAGGGCCAAAAAGGAGUUAUGUUUAUCUUUUCCCAGUUGUUGGUGCUUGGGGAUUUUCACCGAAUAAAAGAAACUGGAAACAUUUUAUAGACUGGUUCAUCUUAGAAGAUGCCCGCACAACAGUACCAUUUGUUCCUGGACAUCUUGCAACAAUGUGAUCACACAGUAUUGACGUCUAAUUGGAGAGAAAAGGGCUUACAUUCAACCAGAAGUCAAGGUGCUUCAAACCCUCUACUGACCGAGUGCUUAUACCAGAUGUAACACGAUAUAAAUAUACACAACCAAAGAAAAAAACACAUUAUACAGCAUGGAGUGGGAUUGUUGUUACAAGACAUGGGAGAGAGAAAUUCACUGUGAACCAACUGGAUCAUUUUAUCGAUUUUAUUACAUCUGGUCAUGUCGUAAAAGAUUAACCGUUUGGUAGAAAAACAUUAAAAAUGUCUUCAGCUGAAAUCAUCAAAAUACCAAGCAUGAUAAGAAGUCUCGGGCCGUCAACAAUAAUCACUCAGUACAUAGCAGUUUGCAAUUAGGAAAAUAUGAAACCACUAGCUUUAACAUUUUACUCUCUUACCAAAUUGUUUGUGUCUUAAUGUUGUUUGAUAAAACAAUUUUGAGGACCCAUCUAUUUACUUGUUACUUGUGAGACAUAGAAUGUUUGUUGAUUAAAAAUAUUGUUUACAGGCUAGAGGCAACAUUUUUAGCUUGACUAUUCAAAGAAUAGUAGGACUCGCCCAUGCGUCUGCUUCCUCAUUUGUUAAGCUUUUUAUGUAAGCUGGUAUCUCAGGAACCACUUGUGGGAAUGGGUCAAAUUUUACACUCUUAUUAAAUGUACAUCAAAUACAGACUGGCAUCAUCGACAACUUCUCCAUGUGGUGAGGAAGAUCAGACUGCGGUGCAUAUACUUCAGAUAUGUAAAAGGCAUGUCUUGGAGCGAGCUGAUACUUGGCCGAUAGAUACCUCAAUCCACCAGUAAUUGUAGCGACUAUUGAGGCAUUGAGGUUUUGUUGCAAACCACAAGUUUCAUCGAGGCUACUGGUCAGACAGUGUACUCGCGAACGAGAAGAAAAAGAAGACGAAAACGUACCAGUUAUCACUACAAGAUGAGAAUGAUAUUGUAAAACGAUUUGUAGAUCAAUGUAUAAACUUAAAUAUCGCCCCUGACGACAGAUGAAGCUCCCUAAUCGUUAUUGGAUCCCUAAUUUACACAAAACUCAACAAAAAGCUCGAUUUAUUGCAAAUUCAACCUUAUGCGCUACAAAAAAAUUUUUUCUCUACUUCUGACUUCUUGUCUUAUUGCUAUAAAAGUCAACGUACUGAAGUAUUGUUCCAAUGUAUAGGAGAACUCGGGUGUUAAUCUGUUUUGAUCUAUCAUGAACUCUGGAGAUGCUAUCAAAAAGCUAACAC
rnacentral:lncRNA from 1 species